CCAGAGAAUUUAGCAGAGAUGCUUUAGUGCCUUCGGGAACUCUGAGACAGGUGCUGCAUGGCUGUCGUCAGCUCGUGCUGUGAAAUGUUGGGUUAAGUCCCGNAACGAGCGCAACCCUUAUCCUUUGUUGCCAGCACGUAAUGGUGGGAACUCAAAGGAGACUGCCGGUGAUAAACCGGAGGAAGGUGGGGAUGACGUCAAGUCAUCAUGGCCCUUACGAGUAGGGCUACACACGUGCUACAAUGGCGCAUACAAAGAGAAGCGACCUCGCGAGAGCAAGCGGACCUCAUAAAGUGCGUCGUAGUCCGGAUUGGAGUCUGCAACUCGACUCCAUGAAGUCGGAAUCGCUAGUAAUCGUAAAUCAGAAUGUUACGGUGAAUACGUUCCCGGGCCUUGUACACACCGCCCGUCACACCAUGGGAGUGGGUUGCAAAAGAAGUAGAUAGCUUAACCUUCGGGAGGGCGUUUACCACUUUGUGAUUCAUGACUGGGGUGAAGUCGUAACAAGGUAGGCGUAGUGCU
rnacentral:rRNA from 1 species